CCCUUAGAUGUUCUGGGCGGCCCGCGCACUACACUGGCACUCUCAAUCAGAGCCUGGAUCUAACACUUUGGGGUAUUCUAUGAAGUGGUGUCGUGACUGGGAUUAACCCUUGCAAUUAUUGGUUACGAACGAGGAAUUCCUUGUAAUCGCGGUUUAUCAGCCCGCGUUGAAUGCGUCCCUGCCCUUUGUACACACCGCCCGUCGCUCCUACCGAUGGAUCGUCCGGUUAAGCUCAUGGAGGGGCGGUUGUCUCAGCUGCCGUCGAAGUGAAAUGGACCUCACGAUCUAGAGGAAGGAGAAGUCGUAACA
rnacentral:rRNA from 1 species